CAGGUUUGUGUUAGAAAAAAGGUUCCGACUCACAUUUCUAACCACAAACUCUUCUUUCAGACAGAAUAGACUGAAUGAAUUCUGACACAAUAAACUCUUUAAAAUGGAUCAUCUCUAGAAGCAGUCAAAUCUGCUUACACCCACUCGUCGUGUUUGGACGGUUUCACACCGGCCUCUUCCCAACCUGUGGCGUUUGCUCUAAUCCUCCUGACAGAGUAUUUUUAGAUGUCACCACUGUCUUCCUUUGCAGAAGUAUGUCACUCGCAGGGAUCAAAAUAAGCUACCUGUAGCUCUGCUGUUUUCACAGUCCGUCUUUCCUCAUAACCUGAUGUUGGGGAAUGCAGGCGGAGAGCUGAUUCAUGGGGACACAGCGCUGCAGAAACUACAGGGCCAGAUUUAUUGAGUGUAACAAUGUUCACGCCUCAGCUCUGACUUUAAUGGUUGACCUCGUAUAGUUACCGAGUAGCCCUUUUGAAAUCUCUGGGAUUGAUGUGCACAAAGAGCAACAACACAUCUGAGAUAUUCAUUGCAGGCACCCAAUUGCUUUCUGUGUCGCAUGCAUACAUGCCCAGUUUGCAGGAUUAUUUGACAUCCUCUUUGUGAAGCCUGAGUUUAGGUGGCGAGGAAGCUGGGUGUGGUCAGACCCAUGUGGAAGACUUCCUUGUUGUUUACACUGUUAAGAUGGCAGCUUCUCUUUUGUCUCCCUCGCUCCGCAUUUCGCACACUCAUGCAAUCACAUUCAUUUCAUCACACCCUUUCGCAGUCUCUCCCCCACCGUCUCCCCACUUGUGCUGACAGACUGUAGCAAAAUGGCUGCCGCUGAUCCCACUGGAAUCCGUUGUGAAGCUCGUUCCCGCCUCUUUCCCAUAUGGGCUUGGUGGAAAAAGCAAGGAGUAAAGUCAGGGGUGGGCUUGGUGGUUGGUGGGGAGGGGGGCACAGACGGAGAGAGGUGCGUGAGCAUCGGCUCUGAAUUCAUGGAUCUCUCUUGGGAGGAGUCAGGAUGCAUGAAUCCAAACUGAGUUUUAUCAGACUGGGCCCAGCAGGGUGACAGAGAGGGGUGGGCUUAGCUCAUCCUGCAGCACAUGUAUGUUUGCGUUGAAGGAAGCAUAUAUGUGCUCUCUCUGCAAGAAGAAAAGUAUUUAGAUGUCCUGUUCUUGAACUGAGAAAUGGGUGUUCCUUGUGAGUUGUUUUUUUUUUUUUUUUUGCAAAUGGCAUAGAGAUCUAACAUCCCAGCUUCUCUGCAUCUGCUCAUCUCACGCUGAUUCUUUCAGAAAGCGUGAAACCUCCUGAGAGUUUGGGAAAGAUAGCUCGUAGAAUGGGUUUUAAAAGAAAAAAUAAAUAAAUAAAAGGGGCGUGAAAGAGGACUCCUCACAUUAUCUUGCAAAGCUGCAAAAGACACAGCUCUGCAGUGUGUGGACCAAAGAGAAAUACACAUCAUCUUUUUAACAUGCUGCUAUCUGCAGCCGUCGUAGUAGCUUUCAUUUUUACACUGUCGGAAUCGGAUGCCUCUAAAAGAUGUAGGCUAUGACCAGUCAAGAAGGCUGAAACAGAAAAAUAAAGGCUUUUGGGGAAAAAAAAAAA